UUGCGGGUUUGAAUGAUAAUGGCAAAGACUAGGGCAGUAUACAGUCAUUUCUUUUAAAAGACAAAUGAUGAAAAGAAAACGCACUUCUCAGGAGAAAGAAAACGAGUGGCUGAGGAAGAAUGUUCCUAAACGUACUCUGAGCAGAUGGAAAAGAAGGAAAAUCACCAGAACAUGCGCAGACAUUGAGCAACAUAGGCCUACUAUACAAUAUGAAAAUGAUGAAGAUUGUAGUCAAAGAGAAGAAAACACAAGGGC